rnacentral:rRNA from 1 species
CCCUCAAGAUAAGAUAUCUUAGAGCGGUCGAAGACCACGACCUUGAUAGAUCGGAUGUGGAAGUGGGGUAACCCAUGGAGCUAACCGAUACUAAUUGCUCUAUUCGCGCUUGA